ensembl:lncRNA
UGGCUAUAUAAAAAGGUCAGUUAUUUAAAUAGUUCAUUGGUGUUCAUGGUUAACUGCAAAUGUUUAAUGUGUUCAAGAAUGUAUAUAAUUGCCUGUAAGGUAUGUGAUGUGUGUCAGUUAAAUGCACAACCUUUUUAUUUGUAUUUUGAGGUUUAUGUCAUUAUUUUUGAUUGGGUAUUGAUAUGUACUACAGCUCCAGCGUACCCUGAAGUAGUCUCAGGUAGAGGGGGUGGGAGCAAGGGGGAGCCGUGUGCACUCUGCAGGAAGCGAGGGAGACGAGAGCUGAACAGUGUCGAGUGAACGCAGAGUUUAUAGAAGGGCGACAGACAUAUUUUCGGAUUGACGGAUAGUUGACUGGAGUGAAAAGCUGUUGUACCCUACUGUGAGUAGGAGGAGACGGACGUCUUGCUGGCGUGUCAGAGAGGUCCCUUCUGCUGGUGUGCUGAAGUUAUAUGUUCACGUGGGAGCACGUGGAGAGGACGAUUGAGUGCUGCUGCCGCGGCCUGCUGGUAGCAUUGACCCAGUUUCCCCUGCUAUCCCCUUGAACUGCCUGGAGGUGUGAGUACUGUUUGCACGUGCUUUUUAUUUUACUGCUUGGCAACAAGUGAAGCGACCAUAUUGUUUUAGGUCCCAACGCACCCGAGCCACGACUCAGGCCUGCAACGAGAGGUUUGCUAGCAGAAAGCCUGUAGCACUUGAGGUCUGUGUGUGUCGGUGAGAGUGUGUGUGGGCCCACAAUAUUAUUUGAUUAUUUUGUUUCUGUUGAAGUAGAUACCUUACGUUCUUUAACAAACUUUAUUGAUUUUACUUAUUUUCUUUUGUCGUUAAAUAAUCAUUUACUAAAGUGGAGUUAACGUUAUAAUUGACCUGUUUUUGUGUGAUUUAUUUCUAUGUAGUGUAGUUUUAUUGCAUGUUUUAUACUAUAAGCAUUAAAAAGGGAGUAUCAAUAGGAACGUAACAACAGGAACCCAGGGCCCCUCUCAACAGAAGUGGGACGGGUGUUACAUAAAUAAAAUAAAUAAUAAUAACAACAAAAGUCAAUCAAAUGGACCAAUACAGCAAAGCUGUGAUGAUCCACUUGGUAAAGCAAAUCCGUUGGGUAUUGUGACAAUAUAGUAGUGUAGUAUUGUAAGAGCAAGCAUGAUUUAUUAGAUUAUUGUAGGCUAGGGAUUUGGCUGUAUAAUCAUCAAUAAAGUAUUAUACUCAUUAUUCAUUUAAGUAAACAUCAAAUAAAGUAUUAUACUCAUUAUUCAUUUAAGUAGGUCAUAGGUCAAGCAAAUAAAUAUACCCAUGUAGCCCACACAGAGAAUUGGGAGAGUGAGAAGCAGAGGAGACAGAAAGCUGCCUUGGGGUUGAUAAGGAGGUGGUAAGGCAAGAGAAGGAGAACAUAGUGUGCCGAGGAGUAGACACCAAGGCUGGGGGAUAGAGAGGGAUGAGAUGGAGAGGGAUCAGCAGACACCAAGUUCUGAGAAACAAAGGUUGUUUACAUGUGUGCAUAAAUGUGAGCCGCUCGGACUGCCCCAGUGGAUUUUGCCAUUUUGAUGCUGAGUAGUGCACAUCCCCAUGUAAAUGUAAUAAACUGGAUUGAAGCUUUGAGAAGUCUCAUGUCACUCAUUUAACUGGGAACGCAAUCCGCAAACACAGGGAGGAGAAAAGAAGAU